GAUGAAGAACGCAGCGAAAUGCGAUAAGUAAUGUGAAUUGCAGAAUUCCGUGAAUCAUCGAAUCUUUGAACGCACAUUGCGCCCCCUGGCAUUCCGGGGGGCAUGCCUGUCCGAGCGUCAUUUCUGCCCUCCAGCCCGGCUGGGUGUUGGGCGCUGUCCCCCCGGGGACACGCCCCAAAGGCAGUGGCGGCGCCGCGUCGGGUCCUCGAGCGUAUGGGGCUUUGUCACCCGCUCGGGACGGACUCGUCGGCGCUGGUCUUCCUCCAGGCGACCCUUCGGGGCUCGUCUUCCUUCGGUUGAUCUCAAAUCAGGUAGGACUACCCGCUGAACUUAAGCAUAUCAAUAAGCGGAGGA
rnacentral:misc_RNA from 1 species